rnacentral:rRNA from 1 species
GACGAACGCUGGCGGCGUGCCUAAUACAUGCAAGUAGAACGCUGAAGAGAGGAGCUUGCUCUUCUUGGAUGAGUUGCGAACGGGUGAGUAACGCGUAGGUAACCUGCCUUGUAGCGGGGGAUAACUAUUGGAAACGAUAGCUAAUACCGCAUAACAAUGGAUGACACAUGUCAUUUAUUUGAAAGGGGCAAUUGCUCCACUACAAGAUGGACCUGCGUUGUAUUAGCUAGUAGGUGAGGUAACGGCUCACCUAGGCGACGAUACAUAGCCGACCUGAGAGGGUGAUCGGCCACACUGGGACCGAGACACGGCCCAGACUCCUACGGGAGGCAGCAGUAGGGAAUCUUCGGCAAUGGGGGCAACCCUGACCGAGCAACGCCGCGUGAGUGAAGAAGGUUUUCGGAUCGUAAAGCUCUGUUGUAAGUCAAGAACGAGUGUGAGAGUGGAAAGUUCACACUGUGACGGUAGCUUACCAGAAAGGGACGGCUAACUACGUGCCAGCAGCCGCGGUAAUACGUAGGUCCCGAGCGUUGUCCGGAUUUAUUGGGCGUAAAGCGAGCGCAGGCGGUUUGAUAAGUCUGAAGUUAAAGGCUGUGGCUCAACCAUAGUUCGCUUUGGAAACUGUCAAACUUGAGUGCAGAAGGGGAGAGUGGAAUUCCAUGUGUAGCGGUGAAAUGCGUAGAUAUAUGGAGGAACACCGGUGGCGAAAGCGGCUCUCUGGUCUGUAACUGACGCUGAGGCUCGAAAGCGUGGGGAGCGAACAGGAUUAGAUACCCUGGUAGUCCACGCCGUAAACGAUGAGUGCUAGGUGUUGGAUCCUUUCCGGGAUUCAGUGCCGCAGCUAACGCAUUAAGCACUCCGCCUGGGGAGUACGACCGCAAGGUUGAAACUCAAAGGAAUUGACGGGGGCCCGCACAAGCGGUGGAGCAUGUGGUUUAAUUCGAAGCAACGCGAAGAACCUUACCAGGUCUUGACAUCCCGAUGCUAUUUCUAGAGAUAGAAAGUUACUUCGGUACAUCGGUGACAGGUGGUGCAUGGUUGUCGUCAGCUCGUGUCGUGAGAUGUUGGGUUAAGUCCCGCAACGAGCGCAACCCCUAUUGUUAGUUGCCAUCAUUCAGUUGGGCACUCUAGCGAGACUGCCGGUAAUAAACCGGAGGAAGGUGGGGAUGACGUCAAAUCAUCAUGCCCCUUAUGACCUGGGCUACACACGUGCUACAAUGGUUGGUACAACGAGUUGCGAGUCGGUGACGGCAAGCUAAUCUCUUAAAGCCAAUCUCAGUUCGGAUUGUAGGCUGCAACUCGCCUACAUGAAGUCGGAAUCGCUAGUAAUCGCGGAUCAGCACGCCGCGGUGAAUACGUUCCCGGGCCU